AUUGAACGCUGGCGGCAUGCCUUACACAUGCAAGUCGAACGGCAGCGCGGGAGCAAUCCUGGCGGCGAGUGGCGAACGGGUGAGUAAUACAUCGGAACGUGCCCAAUCGUGGGGGGUAACGCAGCGAAAGCUGUGCUAAUACCGCAUACGAUCUACGGAUGAAAGCAGGGGAGCGCAAGACCUUGCGCGAAUUGAGCGGCCGAUGGCAGAGUAGGUAGUUGGUGAGGUAAAGGCUCACCAAGCCUUCGAUCUGUAGCUGGUCUGAGAGGACGACCAGCCACACUGGGACUGAGACACGGCCCAGACUCCUACGGGAGGCAGCAGUGGGGAAUUUUGGACAAUGGGCGAAAGCCUGAUCCAGCCAUGCCGCGUGCAGGAUGAAGGCCUUCGGGUUGUAAACUGCUUUUGUACGGAACGAAACGGUCUUUUCUAAUAAAGAAGGCUAAUGACGGUACCGUAAGAAUAAGCACCGGCUAACUACGUG
rnacentral:rRNA from 1 species